rnacentral:tmRNA from 1 species
GGCGCGUAUUCGACGGGGACCCAAGGUGCAUGCCGAGGGGCGGUUGGCCUCGUAAAAAGCCGCAACGGCAUAACUGCCAACACCAACUACGCUCUGGCAGCUUAAUAACCUGCUUACCUCUCUCCCUAGCCUCCGCUCUUAGGACGGGGAUCAAGAGAGGUCAAACCCAAAAGAGAUCGCGUGGAAGCCCUGCCUGGGGUUGAAGCGUUAAAACUUAAUCAGGCUGUUUGUUAGUGGCGUGUCCGUCCGCAGCUGGCAAGCGAAUGUAAAGACUGACUAAGCAUGACCGAGGACCUCGGACGCGGGUUCGAUUCCCGCACGCGCCUCC